rnacentral:rRNA from 1 species
UGGGGAAUCUUCCGCAAUGGACGAAAGUCUGACGGAGCAACGCCGCGUGAGUGAAGACGGCCUUCGGGUUGUAAAGCUCUGUGAUCCGGGACGAAAGAGCCUGAGGUGAAUAGCCUAAGGAAGUGACGGUACCGGAAAAGCAAGCCACGGCUAACUACGUGCCAGCAGCCGCGGUAAUACGUAGGUGGCAAGCGUUGUCCGGAAUUAUUGGGCGUAAAGUGCGCGCAGGCGGCUUCCUAAGUCCAUCUUAAAAGUGCGGGGCUUAACCCCGUGAUGGGGAGGAAACUGGGAAGCUGGAGUAUAGGAGAGGAAAGUGGAAUUCCUAGUGUAGAGGUGAAAUGCGUAGAGAUUAGGAAGAACACCGGUGGCGAAGGCGGCUUUCUGGACGAAAACUGACGCUGAGGCGCGAAAGCGUGGGGAGCAAACAGG